rnacentral:rRNA from 1 species
UGGGGAAUUUUGGACAAUGGGCGAAAGCCUGAUCCAGCAAUGCCGCGUGUGUGAAGAAGGCCUUCGGGUUGUAAAGCACUUUUGUCCGGAAAGAAAUCCUUGGCUCUAAUACAGUCGGGGGAUGACGGUACCGGAAGAAUAAGCACCGGCUAACUACGUGCCAGCAGCCGCGGUAAUACGUAGGGUGCAAGCGUUAAUCGGAAUUACUGGGCGUAAAGCGUGCGCAGGCGGUUUGCUAAGACCGAUGUGAAAUCCCCGGGCUCAACCUGGGAACUGCAUUGGUGACUGGCAGGCUAGAGUAUGGCAGAGGGGGGUAGAAUUCCACGUGUAGCAGUGAAAUGCGUAGAGAUGUGGAGGAAUACCGAUGGCGAAGGCAGCCCCCUGAGCCAAUACUGACGCUCAUGCACGAAAGCGUGGGGAGCAAACAGGAUUAGAUACCCUGGUAGUCCACGCCCUAAAACGAUGUCAACUAGUUGUUGGGGAUUCAUUUCCUUAGUAACGUAGCUAACGCGUGAAGUUGGCCGCCUGGGGAGUACGGUCGCAAGAUUAAAAACUCAAAGGAAUUGACGGGGUCAUAGCUGUUUCCU